UACGAAGGGGGCUAGCGUUGCUCGGAAUCACUGGGCGUAAAGCGCACGUAGGCGGCUUUCUAAGUCAGGGGUGAAAUCCUGGAGCUCAACUCCAGAACUGCCUUUGAUACUGGAGAGCUUGAGUCCGGGAGAGGUGAGUGGAACUCCGAGUGUAGAGGUGAAAUUCGUAGAUAUUCGGAAGAACACCAGUGGCGAAGGCGACUCACUAGACGACUGUUGACGCUGAGGUGCGAAAGCGUGGGGAGCAAACAGG
rnacentral:rRNA from 1 species